CACUAACCCUAUCUUCACCUUUUUUUGGACGAACCCUACCCUCAAUUAUCUCUCAUCUCUCCGCCUCCAUCACCUCCCAUCUCUAAAUAAGGUGAUCCCAGCAGCAGCUACGAAGAAAAGAAGAAAAAUUCAAAGAUAACCCUGACGAGUCGAGAAGAAGCCGUCGCCGCCACUGGUUGGGUCGAGAAGAGUAGAGAAGCAGCCACCAGACCCGCCCAAGCGGCCUAGGCGGGAGCCCAAGCGCCGCCUAACUCCCUGGCGCCUACUCCUAACGUUUAGGGUGAACUCGCAGCAGUGUUCUCCCGCCUACCGCCUAGGAGCUUCUUCUUCCAUUUUUGUGGUGUGGGGGGUUGAAGAGAUAAGAAAACAUGAAAAAAGGGCAUGAAAGAUGAAGAAAAAUUAAUAAAACAAAAUUUAUUUUUUUUUAAAUUUUACUCAACAAUCAUUUAAUAUUAAUUUGUCCUUACCAGCCCUUAAAUGUCCUAUGAAUCAUCGGAUUUUUUACUGGCAUUGGCCUAAUGCAUGAAAGCACUCGUGAUAAUAAGAUUAGAACGGAAUUGUUUCCGUUCUUGAUAGAUAUGGAGGAGACACAAAGCCAAGGCAGAACUAAGCUGGUGGGUGUUGAGUUUUCUGCAUAUUUCUAACAUAACGCCAACUCACAACAACUAACAAUUGCAAGAGUAAAUCAGAUUAUGUCACUCGUUUCUGUAUACAAAUCAGACUAUGUGCUGGAGGAAGCCAAAAUGCUUUACAAAUUUUAGAUGGCGCUGAUUAUUCUCGUGGUUCAAUUCCAUCAUGUUCUGCGGAGGAGAUGUUUCUUUGUAGACUCCUACAAAGAGAUUCUAUAGAAACUAAUGGCAAUGAUGAAAUUGCUAAAUAUGUUGAAGAAGCUCUCACUUUGCGUCGUACAUCUACUAGGGAGUUGUUAAAACUCUUGGAACAUUCCAUUUAUUCUCAUAGGGAAAAAACAGAGAGGAUAGUCCACACUUUGGAUGGAAAGAUAUCUUCUGAAGAUGAUAUCAUCCAGUUACCUAAGAUUGACGACGGAGAGGGAGGUUAAAAAUCUGCGGGAAGCGAUUGAUAUUCUUCACGUGAAGCAGCUAGAGUAUGCUGAUGUAAUUCGGACUUACCUUAGCAGCCAGUCAACAGAUCAGUCUGAAAUUAGGCGCAUUACAGGUUUCUCAGAUGGUUAUAGUCACAAGCCUUGGUUUUUUAUUUGCAUAUUUAGUAGGAAUGUUAAUCCUGCACUUGAUUACUGACGGCACAUAUGUAAUUUUUGUUUUUGUUUUUCAUUUUUUCCCAUUACAAGAAAACAGAGUAAGCUAUUUGAGUUAGAGUGAUCAAGAUUCUAGAAUACCCUGCCGUGACAGAUAUAGCUUCUGGAAUAUCAGCUUCUGUUGCCAUUAAUCUGCAGAUAGUGGAUUCUGAGGCGCAUGAAGGAACUUUGUUUUGAUCCAAACUCCAAAAGCUAGCUCAAACUUUGGAGCUUUUAAGUUGAA